AAAAAACCUCGACCUUGACCUCUCCUCUCAAUCCACCUCGACCUAUCCUCUCCGGAAACCCUACACACGCCGCCACGCCGCCAUUCCCUCCGGCUCUUCGGACCUCGCCCCAUGCAGCCGUCCCUGAAGUGAAACAACGCCUCCGCCAUCGCCCAGCCACCGUCGUAGUCCUCCUUUUCCUGUCUUUCCCCAAAAGGCCAAGACGAGUGCAUCAGGGAGGGGUCACCGCCCCGGCGAUGCCUACUCUGGCCAAUAUCACCUCCGCUCACCCAAUCAUGUGUGAAGCACAAGCUUCCGAUGCCUCUGCUACCUUCCCUAUUCCCGCGCGCCUCCUACUACACCCGCCAUCCCAACGACCUCUCGAAUACGCAGGUAGCAAGGUGAAACUCGACCGCGAAGUACAUGGAAUUUUUGUUUCGGAUAUAUGUUCACAAUACUACUCCAUCACUUCUCAUGUUUGGAGAUGCCAGUUUUAUAUAACUGUUCGUUCAUGCAGAGGUAGAAUUGUUUUGAACAUGAAAAUAAGAUCAAAAUCGUAUAUAGUUGAAUGGAUAAAUGACACUAUAAAACUCUUCAAAUUUUCUGCAAUGACGACCCUUUGUUCAGCGAAAUAAGUUAACAUGUAAUACUGCUUUUGGUUUCUUAACAAUGACUUUAAAUAGUUUUAGAUUGGUGAGUAAGUUGUUGUUGAUUUCUGUUAUUUAUUUCUACAGAUUUUUGUAAUAGUCGACACUCAAUUCUUUCUUUGUGCACACAUCAUGUGCCUGAAGUUGUGCAAGCAACUAGAACGAUAACCAACUAUCUAGAUUAAUGGAGCAUUUCACACCACAGUUUUGCAAUGUUUCUGCUUUACAAAGAGCAAUAAACAAAGACGCAGAAGGGUAAACCUGGCAUGGCCACUGACCACUAAUUUCCUGCCCAGGUGAUUUUUAAUAUGUUUGUUAACUCAGUGCUAAAUUUAUGAAUGUAGACUCGAAACUACUUUAUCCUGCUCAUGCAUGCAUUGACCAAUUUCCGGAAGAGGAGAUUAAUAAGAUGACAUUGUGUAAAAAAAAACAUGAUAGCUCUUUGAAUCGAUAUAAGUAACCAACAUUUUUAAGAAUAACAAUUAAGUUGAAGCAAAAUAACUAGGAAUAUUUCAGAUUAUUUUUUUAUCAAAAUGGGAGAGAUAUUUGAAUCAACAAUUGUAGUACAACUCUUAGAUAGAGGAAAAUGAUGAGGUAAAGUUUUGGUUCCUGCUUUGAUAUAUUACUCAAUGCCCGUAUUAUUUAUUUCUCUAUGAAAUUUGACAUAUUAAGGACACUGAUUUUACACCUUCGCUUGUUUGUUCCAAACCGUCAGACUUGGGAACCAUGUUAUUACUUGUUAGUGAUUAUACUGUGGAACUGUAUCCAAUGACUAUUUUUUCUCCGUGUGUAAAUAUGUCUUUGAAACAUCUUUUCUUUUCACAAUGCAGACUUGGAAAAAUAUGUGUUCCUUUUAAUUUACAUAUGUUCUGCUAGAUUCCUUAAUUAUCACUACUCAUCUUAGAAAAUACAAGAAAUAUCUGUAAUUCUACAUUUGGAUUACCUGGAGCUAAAACACGUAUGUGACAUGCAGGUAUUGUGAGAACAUUUCCGUUUUUUGUGCAAAGGAGAUGUGUGGGCUGAAAAGGCGGGAUCGAUGCAAUCGUCUUGUCGUUAACUCUGACAAUAUGGAGGUGAUUGACACAAUGAAAAAUGAAGGACAUUCGGCGGCAGCGGCGACAACAGUGUUCGAUGAUUGCUAUUUCUUAGCUGGUGAUUUUCCUCUUUUAGGUUCGAACAUUGUAAUUGGGAAGCUAAUAAGGUGGCUCAUGAACUUGCUAGGCUAGCGAAAUUUUCCAUCACUAGGGAUUGGUUUGAGGAAUGUAUGAGUGUUAUUAUACCUUUCCUAAUCGAGAUGUAACAAUUACUUCUAAUUAAUAAAAUUGAUGUUUAUCAAAAAAAGAUAAC